UUUCACCUACUGCACCUGUGUAAGAGUGUACACAAACUGCUUUGUGGAGUAGUUAAAAACAAUGUUUAAUCACAUUUCAAUGUGAUUUUUUAGCACAUGUUUAUGUAUCCAGGUAAAUGGUGGCACCUUAGUGUAAAUUGAAGCUCUCUAAUGACAGCACAAGUAUACCGAUGUAAUUUAUAAAUUUAAAGAAAUGGAUCUAAUUUAUAGGUUCAAGAAAACUUAAUGCUGUUUUACGAGAAAGUCAUAUCUGCAAAAGAAGAAGAGAAUAAAGAAAAAACUCUUACAAUAUUUUUAUGGUUUAUUGAACUUUUAUCACUGUAACGGAAUGAUUAUGUAUCUUUAUAUCACACU